GAUGAACGCUGGCGGCGUGCCUAAUACAUGCAAGUAGAACGCUGAAGGAGGAGCUUGCUCUUCUGGAUGAGUUGCGAACGGGUGAGUAACGCGUAGGUAACCUGCCUGGUAGCGGGGGAUAACUAUUGGAAACGAUAGCUAAUACCGCAUGACAACAGUUAUUGCAUGAUAACUGUUUAAAAGGGGCAACUGCUCCACUACCAGAUGGACCUGCGUUGUAUUAGCUAGUUGGUGAGGUAACGGCUCACCAAGGCGACGAUACAUAGCCGACCUGAGAGGGUGAUCGGCCAAACUGGGAAUGGGAAACGGCCCAGACUCCUACGGGAGGGAGCAGGAGGGAAUCUUCGGCAAUGGAGGGAAGUCUGACCGAGCAACGCCGGGGGAGGGAAGAAGGUUUUCGGAUCGUAAAGCUCUGUUGUAAGAGAAGAAAGAGUGUGGGAGUGGAAAGUUCACACUGUGACGGUAUCUUACCAGAAAGGGACGGCUAACUACGUG
rnacentral:rRNA from 1 species